UACGGGGGGGCAAGCGUUGUUCGGAAUUACUGGGCGUAAAGGGCUCGUAGGCGGCCAACUAAGUCAGACGUGAAAUCCCUCGGCUUAACCGGGGAACUGCGUCUGAUACUGAGUGGCUUGAGUGCAGGAGAGGAAUGCGGAAUUCCAGGUGUAGCGGUGAAAUGCGUAGAUAUCUGGAGGAAUACCGGUGGCGAAGGCGGCAUCCUGGACCGGCAUUGACGCUGAUGAGCGAAAGCUAGGGGAGCAACGGG
rnacentral:rRNA from 1 species